rnacentral:rRNA from 1 species
CCUACGGGAGGCAGCAGUGGGGAAUAUUGGGCAAUGGAGGCAACUCUGACCCAGCAACGCCGCGUGAAUGAUGAAGGUCUUCGGAUUGUAAAGUUCUGUGAUGGGGGAUGAACACAAUGACGGUACCCCAAUAGCAAGCCACGGCUAACUACGUGCCAGCAGCCGCGGUAAUACGUAGGUGGCAAGCGUUAUCCGGAAUGACUGGGCGUAAAGGGUGCGUAGGUGGUUUAGUAAGUUGGCGGUGUAAUUCCGGGGCUCAACCUCGGCGCUACCGCAAAAACUAUUAGACUAGAGUGCAGGGGGGGUAAGUGGAAUUCCUAGUGUAGCGGUGGAAUGCGUAGAUAUUAGGAGGAAAAUCAGGGGCGAAGGCGACUUACUGGACUGUAACUGACACUGAGGCACGAAAGCGUGGGGAGCAAACAGGAUUAGAUACCCUAGUAGUC